rnacentral:misc_RNA from 1 species
GCAUUCCUGCUUUCGUAGUGACCUGCGGAGGAUCAUUACAGUAUUCUUUUGCCAGCGCUUAACUGCGCGGCGAAAAACCUUACACACAGUGUCUUUUUGAUACAGAACUCUUGCUUUGGUUUGGCCUAGAGAUAGGUUGGGCCAGAGGUUUAACAAAACACAAUUUAAUUAUUUUUACAGUUAGUCAAAUUUUGAAUUAAUCUUCAAAACUUUCAACAACGGAUCUCUUGGUUCUCGCAUCGAUGAAGAACACA